UAGCAUUUUGUCCCAAAGUUAGAAAACCCUAGCUAGCUCUAACUUGUUUUCUGAAGUUCCUAUGCAGUUGCGUUUCUCCUCCGUCGGUUGGUAUCGUCGUCCAUGGCGGCAUCAGCGUCCGUCGCUUCAUUGCUUAUCUGCCAUCAUUUGAUUUACCUUUUAAUUUUCAUGAACUUUUGUAACUAUGGGUCUGUCAAUGUGAUUGAAGUAUGUCUUUUAAUGGAGCAGGGACAUAUUACAACUAAGCAAGUGUGCGUUCCAAGAGAAGAAGAUUGAUAUACACAAUAAGCUGAUGAGAAAAUAUGCAGAUAUUAUAACGAUCAACUCCAGCUUCCAUGGUGGGGUGUGGUGUUAGCGUGUGUUGUUGCUCUAUCAUUACUUUUCCAAUUGGAAUCAUUAGAGCUACAACAAAUUAAAUCAGGUCCUCACAGAAUCUUUGGAGAUCUUGGACACUAUUCAGCCAUAAACUGGUUCUUCUUGGCUGGUGCUAUUGCUCCUUUAUUAGUAUGGCUAGCACACAAAACCUUCCCAAACAAACAGUGGAUUCCUCUCAGGGUUGUCCGGGGGACUUGAUGCCGGAUUAGCAUUCAUGGGAAUGCUGCUUUACUUGUGUUUAGGGAUGGAAAAUGUUAACUUAAACUGGUGGGGAGUGAAGUGGAUGCUGGUUGUGCUUUAGCUUCUUCAUGUCCAACUGCUCAAGGUGUCACAGCUCAAAGAUGUCCCUUUUACUAAGUUUGUAAAUCACAUCAUUGUUGUAAUUUGUAGUUACUAAGCUAUAGAUAGUUGUUUACAUAUCAUUUUUUAUUCUUCAACCAAUUCAUUGGUUAUAUGAAUGACUUUUGUAAUAGUUUCGUAGUUCAAUAAAAACAUGUUGGAUUAUUAUGAA